rnacentral:tRNA from 1 species
AUUUGUAAAGUUUAUAAAACACUUCAUUUUCAUUGAAGAGAUAAGCAAAAAUGCUUUAUAAAUA